AGUCACAUUGAGAGGCUAUGUGUGGUUGCCCUGGUCAACACCCAACUGCCAGCAUCAACUGCCAGCUAUGUAGCGAGCUCUCUUGGACAUCUAGCCCAGUCAAAGCCUUGGGUGACUGUCACCCCAGCCAGCAUCUGACGGCAACUUCAGAGAGAACCCAGAUGAGAACUGCUCAGCUGAACCCCAUCAUCCAAAAAACUAGACAGGGUUUCACCAUGUUGCCCACCCUAGUCUUGAACUCCUGAGCUCUAGCCAUCCACCUGCCUUGGCCUCCCAACAUGCUGAGAUUACAGGAGGAAGCCACUGUGCCCGGCAAUGUCUGGUCCUCAGGCUGUGAGUGAUGUGCCUUAGGGGCAGGAGGAAAGUCAAGUCCUCCUGGGCCUUGGAUGACUCCCUUGCAAGAAUACAUUCUGUGAGUUGAGACCAGAAGCAGCAACCAGAAUAACUAGAUGAUUACUCUUCUCUUCAUGUGGUCAAAGUAUUUAUAGUAUUUGCUUAAUAAAACUCAUGAAAUCUCUGA
ensembl:lncRNA novel transcript